AACGAACGCUGGCGGCGUGCCUAAUACAUGCAAGUCGUGCGAGAAAGCCCGCUUCGGUGGGUAAGUAAAGCGGCGACCUGGUGAGUAACACGUGGAUAAUCUACCUUUAAGUUGGGGAUAAGCUUCCGAAAGGGGGUCUAAUACCGAAUAACAUCGUUUGAUGGCCUCAUCAGACGAUCAAAGGCGGCGCAAGCUGUCGCUUAGGGAUGAGUCCGCGCUCCAUUAGCCAGUUGGCGGGGUAAAAGCCCACCAAAGCUACGAUGGAUAGCCGGCCUGAGAGGGUGUACGGCCACACUGGAACUGAGAUACGGUCCAGACUCCUACGGGAGGCAGCAGUAGGGAAUAUUGCGCAAUGCCCGCAAGGGUGACGCAGCGACGCCGCGUGGGGGAUGACGGCCUC
rnacentral:rRNA from 1 species